CACAAGAACGCUGUGUCUUGAUGCCUCUCUAAGGUCACAGAACCCUCGCUGCCAUAAAUCCCGCACAACAGGGUUAGCCACUGACUUGGGUAUUGACUUGCUCUUGGGGUGACCCCACCACCCGUGAAAGGCCCUGCGGGAUGCAGACUCCUCAGCUUCACCGACUUCCUCUUAUCUCAAGAUACCUAAGUGGGAACUGGGGAAGGAGACGUUGGACAUCUUUGACCUAGGAGCCUCUCAUGAGCUACCAAUCCCUGAGCCUGCGACAGCUGCCCACCUGUCCUACAUGGGUGUGCCUCUUGGAGAGCCGGCCUGGAGUGGUGUGGCACCCUAUAAAGGAAUUAUCCAAGUGUGAACCUACAGUCUCACAAAUUUGCCUGAAAUAUUCAAUCUUAGAUUUGUUUGUUCUUAAAACCUUCUGUUCUGCAGAUAAGUAAGCCGAGCUUCCACUUAUCCUAACGUCCCUCUUCCCCUUACCUCGCCUCAAACACUCAUUCUUCAUU